rnacentral:lncRNA from 1 species
AUGGAUGUGGAUCUUUCACCAGCGCCGAGUUCAGUAAAGAUGGGCAAUUUACCAUCAAACCAGGAGCCACUUCAGGCUGAGGCGAAGGACCAGAACGGAGGCCUGAACGGCCACGCGGUGGCCGUCACCGACGCCGGCACGGGCCCGCACGUUGAUAAGCACCUGUUACCCGACGGGUGUGUCCCGCUGAUCUCGGCACCAGAAACAAGCCCCGCCCUGCCAGGUAAGGACCCCGCCCUGGUACAGACCAACGGACACCAGUUGCCGGAGCAGCCGGAGAGCAGCGAGCCACGAGCCCCUCAAGACGCGGCAGCUGCCCCGAAACUGUUGGGAGAAGAGAAAGUCAACCUCUUCGGCAAAAUGUUCAAGAAGAAGCCUGACGCCCCGCCGGUCCCACCUGAGAAGGUGGAGGAUCUGGUGACACCGGCGGACCAGCAAACUAGCCCCAAGCGGGAGGACGCAGCUCCUGAUGUUGGUGCUGAGAAACAGCCUGAGCAACAGAUGAGUAAUGGUGCUGGUCCAGAUCCUGCAGAAGCUCCUGCAGAAGCAGCAGCGAAGCCGCCCCCCGAACAGAAAAAGCGGUUCAGCGGCCUCUUCAAGAAGAAGCCUGAGAGCCCACCUGCAGCAGAGCCUGGCGGACCACCAGGGGGGACUGAGACACCAGCUGCGGCCAAUGAGCAGCCACGUUCCAGUGAGGAGAAAUCCAAGCAUCCCAUCGCAGAUUCCAGUGGAAUGAGACCGUCAGAGAAGCAGGUAAAUGCUGCAGCUGUGGUUACCAAAGACGACCCUGGAUCAGCACCGAAAGAUGGAGAUGAAAAGCCAAAGCGCUUCGGAAAACUUUUCAUGAAGAAGAGUGGAAACACACCUGCAGUGGAGGUGGAGAUCUCGCCUGACCAGACGCCCGCUGUAGAUGUACACCUGCAGGCCAUGCCGGAGGAGACAGUUCCUGAGAAGGAGCCAGAGCUACAAGCAGUUUCUGCAUCGGAGAAGAAACCAUUCAGCAACCUGUUCAAGAAGUCUGAAAGCCCACCUGCAGAAAGCCCACCUGUCCAGACCAAGGCAGUAGUCGAGACACCCAGCCAACUGCCUAAACCAGAAGCUGAUGUUCAGCUGAAGGAUGCGACACUGACACCUGUAGAACCAGAGAAGAAAUCAACGUUUGGAUCGCUGUUCAAGAAGAAACCCAUCAGCCCCAUAGUGGUUGAGGUUGACAAUUUGCAAGUUCAGACUGAGUUGCUUGGGACAAAAGAUCAUCAACCUAGCCCCAAGCGGGAGGACGCAGCUCCUGAUGUUGGUGCUGAGAAACAGCCUGAGCAACAGAUGAGUAAUGGUGCUGGUCCAGAUCCUGCAGAAGCUCCUGCAGAAGCAGCAGCGAAGCCGCCCCCCGAACAGAAAAAGCGGUUCAGCGGCCUCUUCAAGAAGAAGCCUGAGAGCCCACCUGCAGCAGAGCCUGGCGGACCACCAGGGGGGACUGAGACACCAGCUGCGGCCAAUGAGCAGCCACGUUCCAGUGAGGAGAAGCAUCCCAUCGCAGAUUCCAGUGGAAUGAGACCGUCAGAGAAGCAGGUAAAUGCUGCAGCUGUGGUUACCAAAGACGACCCUGGAUCAGCACCGAAAGAUGGAGAUGAAAAGCCAAAGCGCUUCGGAAAACUUUUCAUGAAGAAGAGUGGAAACACACCUGCAGUGGAGGUGGAGAUCUCGCCUGACCAGACGCCCGCUGUAGAUGUACACCUGCAGGCCGAGCCUGGGGACAUAAAGGAGGGAACAGAGCCGCAGCAGGACCCAGACCGGGAGUCUCUGGACCUCGUCCCCGCCGCCGCCCAGCUCGCGCCGCAGCCACAGGAGCAUCCAGUUAUGAACUUCUUCAAAACGCUUGUGAGUCCGACCAGAACCCCUAAAGAGGCAGCAGCAGGUCCUGAUGGUUCCAGAGAGCAGCCCCAGAAGGAGCCGGCGGCAGCCGCGCAGUCGGCCGGACAGGAAGUAGACGCGGCGAAAGCGAAGGUGCCUCCUCCUCCUCCCCCAGAGCCUCCCAAGAUGGCGGAGCCGGCGGCAAGGAAGGAGGACGUGAAGGACACGCCCAAGCAGGCGGAGCCUGCUGCUAAACCCAAGGCUGCGAAAGAGAGCCCCUUCAACAAGAUAUUCCGCCCGAAGCAGUUAGGGGAGGAGCCUGAGGCGCAGGAGGAAGUGCAGGUCGACGCGUCCAAGACGGCGACGCUGGAGGCCGCCGCCAAACCGGAGGCCCCCGCCCUCCCCGCGCCCAGAGAAGAGGAGAAGAAGUCGGAGAAACGGGCCUCGCCCUUCGCCUCCUUCUUCAAACCCAAAGCCCCAGAGCAGAAAAAAGACACGCCCGUCACCGCUGCUGCCCCACCCCCAGAAGCCCCCCAGGGUGCGAGGGCCAAAGAGGAUCCCAAAAGCGCGCCCCCUGCGACCCCUCCGGUCCCCGACAGCAAGCCGGCGGAGAGCGCAGAGAACGCCUCGCCCAGCACCGCCCGCAGGGAGAAGCGGAACUCCAUCCAGCUGUUCUUCAGGAACCUGGGCCAGAAGCGGCAUUCGGACGCGGGGGUGCAGACGGAAGCCCCGGCUGCGGGCUCCACGGUGGAAAGGGGCAAAUAAACCUUCAUCUGCCCCGCUUCGCCCCUUCUCCCCUUCCCGUCGGCUCCGUGUCGCGGACGUUGGCGUGUCUGAGACGCAUGCGCACACUGGCUCCUGGGCGGGGCCAGAGGCGUGACUCUAGGGGCGUGGCAGACACGAGGCACGACAUUUUUAACGUCUAUUAACGCCUUUAUUCUCACGGCAGUCGGUCCACACAGAUCCUGAAGCAUCCUCUCAACAGUCUCUGCAAUCAUCAUCAUCAUCAUUAUUAUUAUUAUUAUUACUGUUGUUGUUUUUGUCACAUUACAAACUGCUUUUCAUUUCUUUUCAGAUCACUGUGGAUGAUUUAUUUUGUGCUGCUUAAUAAACAAUUAAAUGUAUUAAUCGCUGAUCA